AACGAACGCUGGCGGCAGGCCUAACACAUGCAAGUCGAGCGAGGACUUCGGUCCUAGCGGCGGACGGGUGAGUAACGCGUGGGAACGUGCCCUUUGCUUCGGAAUAGCCCUGGGAAACUGGGAGUAAUGCCGGAUGAGCCCUUUGGGGGAAAGAUUUAUCGGCGAAGGAUCGGCCCGCGUUGGAUUAGGUAGUUGGUGGGGUAAUGGCCUACCAAGCCGACGAUCCAUAGCUGGUUUGAGAGGAUGAUCAGCCACACUGGGACUGAGACACGGCCCAGACUCCUACGGGAGGCAGCAGUGGGGAAUCUUAGACAAUGGGGGAAACCCUGAUCUAGCCAUGCCGCGUGAGCGAUGAAGGCCUUAGGGUUGUAAAGCUCUUUCAGCUGGGAAGAUAAUGACGGUACCAGCAGAAGAAGCCCCGGCUAACUCCGUG
rnacentral:rRNA from 1 species